rnacentral:lncRNA from 1 species
GGGGCCGCGGCGGCUCCUCUGCCGGGUCGCGCCGGAGGACAGGCUUCGGGCGGCGGCUUGGACGGCCUGCGGACCGAGCGGGUGGGCCGAGCCUUGGAACCCCACGCUUGCCGUCUGCCUUGCCCGCUAGCGCGGGGCGCGCGCCAUGGCCGCCUCGCCCGGCUCGGGCAGCGCCAACCCGCGGAAGUUCAGUGAGAAGAUCGCGCUGCACACGCAGCGGCAGGCCGAGGAGACGCGGGCCUUCGAGCAGCUCAUGACCGACCUCACCCUGUCCCGGGUUCAGUUUCAGAGGCUUCAGCAACUGCGCCUUACACAGCACCACGGGGGAUCCUUACCUAAUGUGAGCCAGCUGCGGGGCAGCGCACCAGAGCUUCAG